UAGUCCACGCCCUAAACGAUCUGCACUAGAUCGAGGAGGCUUCGACGCCAUCUCGGUCGAAGUUAAAAUGUUAAGUGCAGCGCCUGGGGAGUACGGUCGCAAGGCUAAAACUCAAAGGAAUUGACGGGGACUCACACAAGCGGUGGAGCAUGUGGCUUAAUUCGAAGCAACGCGAAGAACCUUAUCCAGGGUUUGACAUGUAUGGAUUAGCUUCCUGAAAGGGAGGUGACGCGUUUUACGUGGAACAUACACAGGUGCUGCAUGGCUGUCGUCAGCUCGUGCUGUGAAGUGUCGGGUUAAGUCCCUUAACGAGCGAAACCCCUGUCGUUAGUUGCCAGCGAGUCAUGUCGGGGACUCUAACGAGACUGCCGGUGUCAAACCGGGAGGAAGGUGGGGGAUGACGUCAAGUCCUCAUGGGCCUUUAUGCCCUGGGGCUGCACACGUGCUACAAUGGUAUGGGACAGAGCGACGCGAUACUGCAAA
rnacentral:rRNA from 1 species